CCUACGGGAGGCUGCAGUGGGGGAUAUUGCACAAUGGGGGGAACCCUGCUGCAGCGACGCCGCGUGGGUGAAGAAGCGCCUCGGCGCGUAAAGCCCUGUCAGCAGGGAAGAAAAUGACGGUCCCUGAAGAAGAAGCCCCGGCUAACUAGGUGCCAGCAGCCGCGGUAAUACGUAGGGGGCAAGCGUUCUCCGGAUUUACUGGGUGUAAAGGGGGCGCAGACGGCGAUGCAAGCCAGGAGUGAAAGCCCGGGGCCCAACCCCGGGACUGCGCUUGGAACUGCGUGGCUGGAGGGCAGGAGGGGCAGGCGGAAUUCCUGGUGUAGCGGUGAAAUGCGUAGAUAUCAGGAGGAACACCGGUGGCGAAGGCGGCCUGCUGGACUGCAACUGACGUUGAGGCCCGAAAGCGUGGGGAGCAAACAGGAUUAGAUACCCCAGUAGUC
rnacentral:rRNA from 1 species